GACGAACGCUGGCGGCGUGCUUAACACAUGCAAGUCGAACGGAAAGUGCCAGCUUGCUGGGUGACUCGAGUGGCGAACGGGUGAGUAACACGUGGGUGAUCUGCCCUGCACUUUGGGAUAAGCCUGGGAAACUGGGUCUAAUACCGAAUAUUCCUUGCUGGUCGCAUGGCCUGGUGGGGGAAAGCUUUUGCGGUGUGGGAUGGGCCCGCGGCCUAUCAGCUUGUUGGUGGGGUGAUGGCCUACCAAGGCGACGACGGGUAGCCGGCCUGAGAGGGUGUCCGGCCACACUGGGACUGAGAUACGGCCCAGACUCCUACGGGAGGCAGCAGUGGGGAAUAUUGCACAAUGGGCGCAAGCCUGAUGCAGCGACGCCGCGUGAGGGAUGACGGCCUUCGGGUUGUAAACCUCUUUCAAUAGGGACGAAGCGCAAGUGACGGUACCUAGAGAAGAAGCACCGGCCAACUACGUGCCAGCCGCCGCCGUAAUAC
rnacentral:rRNA from 1 species